CGCCUCUUGCACCUGUAUAAGAGGUCCAGCCUGCCCAGUGACUAAGUUCAACGGCCGCGGUAUCCUAACCGUGCGAAGGUAGCGUAAUCACUUGUUCUUUAAAUGAGGACUAGUAUGAAUGGCACCACGAAGGUUAUGCUGUCUCCUUUUUCUAAUCAAUGAAACUGAUCUCCCCGUGAAGAAGCGGGGAUACAACUAUAAGACGAGAAGACCCUAUGGAGCUUUAAACCAUGUAACACUGGCUUAUACAUUAAAAUAUUCCAGAAUUUCUCAUAAUUACUCUAGCCACCAUGAUUACUAGUUUUAGGUUGGGGUGACCACGGAGCAAAAAUUAACCUCCAUGUUAAACGGAGCUACUCCUGAGCUAAAAGCCACGACUUUAAGCACUAAUAAAUUAAUAUUAAUUGACCCAAUAUUUUUGAUCAACGAACCAAGUUACCCUAGGGAUAACAGCGCA
rnacentral:rRNA from 1 species